GGGAAGGUGGCUCAGUGGUAGAGCACUUGCCUUGCAUGCAUGAGGCCCUGGGU
rnacentral:tRNA from 1 species